rnacentral:rRNA from 1 species
AUUGAACGCUGGCGGCAUGCCUUACACAUGCAAGUCGAACGGCAGCACGGGUUCUUGCACCUGGUGGCGAGUGGCGAACGGGUGAGUAAUACAUCGGAACAUGUCCUGUAGUGGGGAAUAGCCCGGCGAAAGCCGGAUUAAUACCGCAUACGAUCUACGGAUGAAAGCGGGGGACCUUCGGGCCUCGCGCUAUAGGGUUGGCCGAUGGCUGAUUAGCUAGUUGGUGGGGUAAAGGCCUACCAAGGCGACGAUCAGUAGCUGGUCUGAGAGGACGACCAGCCACACUGGGACUGAGACACGGCCCAGACUCCUACGGGAGGCAGCAGUGGGGAAUUUUGGACAAUGGGCGAAAGCCUGAUCCAGCAAUGCCGCGUGUGUGAAGAAGGCCUUCGGGUUGUAAAGCACUUUUGUCCGGAAAGAAAUCCUUGGCCCUAAUACGGUCGGGGGAUGACGGUACCGGAAGAAUAAGCACCGGCUAACUACGUG